GACAGAGGUCCCGAGCGUUAUCCGGACUCACUGGGCGUAAAGGGCGUCUAGGCGGCCCCGUGUGUCACCUGUGAAAGCCCCCGGCUCAACCGGGGGAGGUCGGGUGAGACUGCGGGGCUCGAGCCUCGGAGGGGGGAGUGGAACUUCCAGAGUAGCGGUGAAAUGCGCAGAUACUGGAAGGUACCUCGAUAGCGAAGGCAGCUCCCUGGCCGAGGGCUGACGCUGAAGCGCGAAAGCGUGGGGAGCGAACCGGAUUAGAUACCCGGGUAGUCCACGCCCCAAACGAUGCCGACUAGGUGUUGGCUCCUUUAACCGUGGGCCUGUGCCGCAGCUAACGCGAUAAGUCGGCCGCCUGGGGACUACGGCCGCAAGGCUAAAACUCAAGGGAAUUGACGGGUCCCCGCACAAGCGGUGGAGCACGUGGUUCAAUUCGAUGAUAAGCGAAGCACCUCACCCGGGCUUGACAUGCACGUGGUACCGAACCGAAAGGGGAGGGACCGCACCCUUCGGGGUGCGGAGCGUGCACAGGUGCUGCAUGGCUGUCGUCAGCUCGUGCCGUGGGGCGUCGGGUUAAGUCCCGCAACGAGCGCAACCCCCGCCCCUAGUUGCCAGCGGUUCGGCCGGGCCACUCUAGGGGGACUGCCGGUGAAUAGCCGGAGGAAGGAGGGGAUGACGUCAAGUCAGUAUGGCCCUUAUGUCCGGGGCGACACACGUGCUACAAUGGCCGGUAUAAAGGGCUGCAAACCCGCAAGGGGGAGCCAAUCCCAAAAAGCCGGUCUCAGUUCGGAUUGGGGUCUGCAACUCGACCCCAUGAAGCCGGAAUCGCUAGUAAUCGCGGGUCAGCCAUACCGCGGUGAAUGCGUACUCGGGGA
rnacentral:rRNA from 1 species